CAGGAGGGACGCCCAUGUCCUCCAAAGGGAGCACCCAUGGGAUGUUUGUGCUGCUGGAGUUCGAGUGGGCUGUGGAAAUGAGUAAACACAGACAGAUCUUCCCUGAAACCACCCCCACAUUUACCCCGCUGUACAUGAUGUUGCACCGCUGCUCCAUGCUGAACUGGGAUUGGCAAAAUCCUGGAUUAGAGCAUCCAUAAUCUGGUUGCUGUGGCGCUAUGGGACACUGCAGCUCGGCAGAGAUACCAAUCCCAUCGCCAUGGUAACCACAAGAGGGAGAAUCCACCGUAGAGAGCAGCAGCAGGAUUGGACGUGGAGACACUCACACUCGGUUAAUGGCACAUUAGUGGCGGGAGGAGACGCAGGACUUCACUGCUGCUUUAUUUAAUUCUGUUUUCUGCUGUAAUUAAAUAGAAAUCUGUGUUUAAUCCUGAAUCACCUGAGUCUGUAAGAUCUGGACGAUCAAAACCCUGAAUCCAUCAUCCAAAGUUGGAAGCUCACCUCAGCGUAGCAGAUGAUAGUGUGGCUUAGUUAUGCAAGAAGAAAAGAUCACCCAAAGGCGCUUAGCCGGAGACAGACAGGACACAUCCUGAAAAAAAAAGCAAAAAAAACCCGAUCUGCCUCAACAUCUUUUCACAGAAGUCAACAUUUAGCUACUUUAGGUCUUAACAGACGACUCUGUCUUUCUUUUGCAUAAAAGCGUCUCAUAUUCUCACCUGUUUCCACUGGUUUCCUGCCAGAUAACGGUUUUAUUUAUUGGGAGAUUUGUUUCUGUAAAGCAUAG
ensembl:lncRNA